rnacentral:lncRNA from 1 species
UUCUAAAAAAGGGAACAACAUCCAUCUUGAACAAGUAAUAUUUAGCAACAAAUAAAUAUUUAAUUCAAUAAGUACUCUCCGAACCAAGAUAGCCGUUUCAAGCUCUGCUUCUUCAAUAAAAGGAGACAAAAAAAUCAGAAACCCUCCCAGGUGCUCAUUCUCCCUAAUUUCCCGUUGGCUCCUACUACUCGGUUGCGAGCAACCUUUUUUUCUUAUACCUUUUAUUUUAUUUAUUUAUGUUAAAUCUUCUCUAUUCUCGUCUAAUUGAAACCCUGUCCUUAUCACAUUGAUAAAUUUUUCCUCUGAAUUGACCAAGGAGAUUCACGCCGAAAGAGAUUCGAUUGAGCACUCACUAUUGGACUGAGCUCCUGGCCCUUCUAAAGGCCAAGUCAAGAUAUGGAAACAAAAGCUUCAUAAAAAUGGAAUACACAACAACCAAAAGAAAAACUGAAUUCAAAGAUUGCUUCAAUCUCUACUCAUUUUUAUACAUGUUGUGAGGAUUCCAAGGCCUUUUGAUUCUAAAAAUUGUUCCUCCGUGUUGUAUUGCUGCUGUUCAAGUUUGCUGGGCUUCUUCACUUUCUCUUAGCCUUUAUUUGGCACUUUGUUAGUUGAUUCACCUGCUGCCCAGGUAUUUCUCAUAAUUUUCGAUUCAAAUAAAUAUUGGUUUGUUCUUUGUUGGUGUGUUGUAUUCUCGGCAUGUUAGUUCAACAACAACCCAGUAUAAUUUCACUUAGUGGGGUCUGGGGAGGGUAGUAUGUACGCAGACCUUACCCCUAUCCUUGGAUAGAGAGACUGUUUCCAAAUAGAUCCCGGCAUCUUUCCCUCCAAGAACUUCCCACCUUGCUCUUGGGGAGACCCGAACUCAUAUUCUCAGCAUGUUAGUUCGAUUUCAUGAAAUGACCAGCUAGUUUCAUUAUUGAAUAUAUUAUGCAGAUUUUGCCUAAUUUUGAUGAUACUUUUUGUUUUUUGAGUUUAGAAUAGAAGUUCAACUAUAAUUAUGUCCAAAUCGACAUAUGUUAGGAUGGAAAUGUUUAGCAAUUCGAACCUCAACGUCCUUCAUAUUACCGGUAAUAAUUGCAUACUCUUAAACAAUUUAUGAGGAAUUGAAUUCAAUAUUAUACACUACUAAAUUUUUCAUCACAAAUGCAAAUUAAAGUCCAAAUUCUUGGCAAAUACGUGAUUCAACCAUGACUCAAAUUUGGCUUAGUUGAUUGUAUAUCUUGUUCUCACUAGAUUAUUUCAUAACGGUAGACCUUCACAUAGAAUCUCAACUCAUAAACAUCAUAGCUUGUUUUAGGCGCGAUAAAUAAAUUAUCAAGACUAUGGGUAUCAUUUUCGUGGCAUAGUACAUAAUCCUUAAUUCGGCAGAAAAAAUUUCAUGUGAUCGGAUCAUAAUUUCAAAUGACAAUAAAAAUUCGCAGCUACUGUUCGCUUCUCAGAAUCUGAAAAUUGCAUCUUUGUAAGUGAAUCUCUC